rnacentral:rRNA from 1 species
CCUACGGGUGGCUGCAGUAGGGAAUCUUCCACAAUGGGCGCAAGCCUGAUGGAGCAACACAGCGUGAGUGAAGAAGGGUUUCGGCUCGUAAAGCUCUGUUGUUGGAGGAGAAAGUGCGGGAGAGUAACUGUUCAUGCAGUGACGUUAUACAACCCGAAAGUCACGGCUAACGACGUGACAGCAGCCGCGGUAAUACGUAGGUGGCAAGCAUUAUCCGGAUUUAUUGGGCGUAAAGCGAGCGCAGGCGGUUGCUUAGGUCUGAUGUGAAAGCUUUCGGCUUAACCGAAGAAGUGCAUCUGAUACCGGGCGAGUUGAGUACAGAAGAGGACAGCGGAACUCCAUGUGUAGCGGUGGAAUGCGUAGAUAUAUGGAAGAACACCAGUUGCGAAGGCAGCUGUCUGGUCUGCAACUGACGCUGAUGCUCGAAAGCAUGGGUAGCGAACAGGAUUAGAUACCCGGGUAGUC